rnacentral:rRNA from 1 species
GACGAACGCUGGCGGCGUGCUUAAUACAUGCAAGUCGAACGGAAAGGCCCUGCUCUUGUGGGGUGCUCGAGUGCCGAACGGGUGAGUAACACGCGUGUAAACCGCCCUUGACUUUGGGAUAACUUUAGGAAACAGGGGAUAAUACCGGAUAUGAGCUCCUGCUGCAUGGUGGGGGUUGGAAAGUUUCGGCGGUUGUGGAUGGACUCGCGGCUUAUCAGCUUGUUGGUCGAGUAGUUGCAUACCAAGGCUUCGACGGGUAGCCGACCUGAGCGAGUGAACGGCGACAUGACGCCUGAGAGAGGGAGCAGUAUCGUACGGGAGGCAACGGGGGAGAAUAUGGCGGAGUAGGCGGAAGCGUGAUGAGAAGACGCCGCGUGCGUGAAGACGGGCUACUAGGUGUGAACAGCUGUCGACUGUAACGAGGCGUGAUUGACGGUAACGGAUAAGAAAGCACCGGCUAACUACGUG